AGUAAGUGCCAAGCUGCAACUCUACGAGAAUAUUGGAUGACAUGUAAGGCGUUCAUAACCCCGAGUUGUGGGAAAAUUUAACUAGGACGACGGAAAAACACACAUCUAUAUU
rnacentral:sRNA from 1 species